UAAUACGUAGGUGGCAAGCGUUGUCCGGAUUUACUGGGCGUAAAGAGCGCGCAGGCGGCCUGAUCAGUCGAAUGUGAAAGCCCCCGGCUUAACUGGGGAGGGUCAUUCGAUACUGUCAGGCUCGAAGGCAGGAGAGGGAAGCGGAAUUCCCGGUGUAGUGGUGAAAUGCGUAGAUAUCGGGAGGAACACCAG
rnacentral:rRNA from 1 species